UUAAAUGAACAGCUCUUUAAUCCAUAUGGGGCCUGUAAGAUGCUUAUAGCUUCCAACCCCUGGAAAGAUCUGAGACAGGGCCCUUGAGUGGCCCUAUUAGGGGCACUUCUAGAGCAGGGAGCUAAGCUUCCAGACAGCUAGGCUUCAAGAGGGGGUGGGCAGACUGGGUAGGAGAGGCCAUGGGCACAGGAAAUGUAGCCCGCACUAGAGUGUAGAGCUGACUCACUGACACCAGCAAGUUCAAUGGCUGAGGUGAGGCACCUGGAGGACCUUAUAACCCAGUUCAAAAUACUCUUCUGAAUAG
ensembl:ribozyme RNaseP_nuc Nuclear RNase P